rnacentral:rRNA from 1 species
CAGUAGGGAAUCUUCCACAAUGGACGAAAGUCUGAUGGAGCAAUGCCGCGUGAGUGAAGAAGGUUUUCGGAUCGUAAAGCUCUGUUGUUGGUGAUGAAGGAUAGAGGCAGUAACUGGUCUUUAUUUGACGGUAAUCAACCAGAAAGUCACGGCUAACUACAUGCCAG